UGGUUCCGUGGUGUAGGGGUUAACAUGCCUGCCUGUCACGCAGGAGAUCGCGGGUUCAAAUCCCGUCGGGACCGUC
rnacentral:tRNA from 1 species